rnacentral:rRNA from 1 species
AGUGAACGCUAGCGGCGUGGAUUAGGCAUGCAAGUCGAGCGCGAAAGUCCGCAAGGAUGAGUAGAGCGGCAAAAGGGUGAGUAAUACAUGGUCAACGUACCCCUGACCCUGGAACAACCGCUGGAAACGGCGGCUAAUACCAGAUGGUCCCCGAGGAUCGCAUGAUUUUCGGGGUAAACGGAUGGGACCUUCGGGCCUUCCGGUCGGGGAGCGGACCAUGGGCUAUCAGCUUGAUGGUGAGGUAAUGGCUCACCAUGGCUUCGACGGGUAGCCGGCCUGAGAGGGUGACCGGUCACACUGGGACUGCGACACGGCCCAGACUCCUACGGGAGGCAGCAGUGGGGAAUAUUGGACAAUGGGCGGAAGCCUGAUCCAGCAACGCCGCGUGAGGGAUGACGGCCUUCGGGUUGUAAACCUCUUUCGCCUGUGACGAAGCGCAAGUGACGGUAACAGGUAAAGAAGCACCGGCCAACUACGUGCCAGCAGCCGCCGUAACAC